AGAAUCAACGCUGGCGGCGUGCCUAACACAUGCAAGUCGAACGAGAAAGUGGGAGCAAUCCCACGAGUAAAGUGGCGCACGGGUGAGUAACACGUGACUAACCUACCCUUGAGUGGGGGAUAACCUAGGGAAAACCUGGGCUAAUACCGCAUAAUACCUACGGGUCAAAGGAGCAAUUCGCUUUAGGAGGGGGUCGCGGCAGAUUAGUUAGUUGGCGGGGUAAUGGCCCACCAAGACAGUGAUCUGUAUCCGGCCUGAGAGGGCGCACGGACACACUGGAACUGAAACACGGUCCAGACUCCUACGGGAGGCAGCAGUGGGGAAUUUGCGCAAUGGGGGAAACCCUGACGCAGCAACGCCGCGUGGAGGAUGAAGCCCCUUGGGGCGUAAACUCCUUUCGAUCGGGAAGAUAAUGACGGUACCGGAAGAAGAAGCCCCGGCUAACUUCGCGCCAGCAGCCGC
rnacentral:rRNA from 1 species